rnacentral:tRNA from 1 species
UGCCGAAACCCGGGAUCGAACCAGGAACCUUUGGAUCUUCAGUCAAACGCUCUCCCAACUGAGCUAUUUCGGC